CUUUCAUUCUGUCUGCCACUGCAAUGAACUCAGAUGACUUACAGAACGGCUUUGUUCUAUCUAAAUAGAGGGCCAGUGCCCUUGUGACAUCCAAGGUGUGUAGGCUGCGCUCCUCAUCUGACGUAUGAGGCUUUGGAAAGAAGAUGGGCCCAGGUUGCAGAAGGUGGAACACACCAGAUCAAGGCUCCUCUGCACUUGUUACCAAGACCUGCCUUUGAUGAGCCAGUCAUCGAGAUACAGGAAGGCCUGGACCCCUCGACGUCUCACACCCUUGACGAGGCUGCCAAGGCCUUGGUGAUGGGGCGGCUGGAACUGCAUCCUUGCAGACUGCAGCAUAUGCUUACCCAGCGAGUGAAGAGUGGCCCAAGUGUCCUUUUAUUCCAUGCAGCCUCGCAUCCAUCUGCUCUGCAAAGUCCAUUCCCAUCAAAUGGGAGGUCCUGGAUCGAGGUCUGCGUCUCUUGGGAUAGGCCAGCGGUCUGAAGCCAAGAGCUGCGCCUCAUGACUACCGCAAGCGACCACCCUAGAUGCUGAGUCUGUUGUGUCCCACACCAUUUGGAGAGAGCAUCUCUCUGCCAUAGUACCUUCCUCCACCAGGAUGCCAAAUUCCUGAG